rnacentral:lncRNA from 1 species
CAAGCAGAGCCCGGCAGUGUGCUGUCUAUAGCUCCAUGCAAAAUGCCGCUUUUCCAUUCGCUUGUGUGUACGUGCCUGCAACACACAAAAUCAAUAUGUAGAAAAAUAUGAUUUUAGGAAAGGGUACUGCUCUUUGCUGUGCGUUAGUGCUACAACAGUUGCUACCAUAUCAAGCUGUUAUUCGUGUCAUAUAUCGUGCAUGGCGGGAGUGACAGCAGUUUGCCAAAAAGCUCGACCCUUUCCACUUUUUUUUGAGCUGUGCU